UUAUCAUUUACUGCCUUUUGGUAAUUUGUAUUUUUCCUGUGAAUUACCUGUUCGUGUUCUUUAUUCAUUUUUCUGAAGGGCAUUGAUCUUUUUAUGUACUGAUUCACGAGGACUUAAGCCUAUGAUGCAGUUGUUUUCCCAGUCUUGGGAGCUGGCAGAUGCCAUUACCCAGGUCAGGAGAUAGAACCUUGCCAGCUAUACCCUGAAGCUGUUCAAGUCUUUCUCCCAAUUACAGUCUUCAUAAGAGUUGUUAGAAGGACUGAAUGAGAUGAAGUAGAGGAAAGUCUUCUAGGACAGGGGUCCUCAACCCUUGGGCCACAGACUGGUGGCAGGAGGGCUGCACAGCAGGUGAGCAGUGGGUGAGUGAGCAAAGCUUCCUCUGUUCACAGCCUCUCACCGUCACUCACACUACCACCUGAGCUCUGCCUCCUGUCAGAUCAGCAGCAGCAUUAGAUUCUCACGUGAGUGUGAACCCUAUUGU
rnacentral:lncRNA from 1 species